rnacentral:lncRNA from 1 species
GAAGAAUCGAGAUAUCGAAUCAUACACAGAGACAUCAAAUCCAGCAACAUUCUUCUUGAUUUCCAGUUCAAUCCUAAAAUAUCAGAUUUCGGUCUAGCAAAACUGUACGAGGAAAAAAUGACCCACAUCAGCACUAGAGUGGCCGGAACAUUGUAAGUGAUCAAUAGAAUAAUAGUUAAGGUUAGAUUCUAUUUAGAUAUGCAAUGUACGUUGAAUGUCAUUUUCUUAUUGUUGUCGUACGUUGCAGAGGCUAUCUUGCGCCGGAAUAUGCAAUGCGAGGACAUUUGACAGAGAAGGUUGAUGUAUUUUCAUUUGGGAUUGUUUGUCUUGAAAUACUAUCCGGCAGACAGUCCUUGAGUUCAUCAGAUGUUUCCCAGGAGCCAAUCCUUGAAUGGGUACAAACAAUUUUCAUUUUCUUUCUUUAACCUCUAAUUAUAGAUUGAUACAAAUUUAUUCUUGGAUUGAAGGCUUGGAAACUCCAUGAGAAGGAAGAUGACAUUGGAAUGAUAGAUGAAAAGCUUUCAUAUAAUUACAACAAAGAAGAAGUUUUAAGAGUAAGUGGUGUGGCAUUAUUGUGCACUCAGGUCAAUCAUAGUCUUCGCCCAUCGAUGUCUCGUGUGGUGUCAAUGUUGGUGGGAGAUAUUGAGAUUGGAGACAUCCCUUCCAAGAGCACAUACAUGUCUGAUUGGCAUGUAGACGACUUUCAUGAC